rnacentral:rRNA from 1 species
GAUGAACGCUAGCUACAGGCUUAACACAUGCAAGUCGAGGGGAAACGGCAUUAAGUGCUUGCACUUUUUGGACGUCGACCGGCGCACGGGUGAGUAACGCGUAUCCAACCUUCCCAUGACUAAGGGAUAACCUGCCGAAAGGCAGACUAAUACCUUAUGGUCUUCACUGACGGCAUCAGAUGUGAAGUAAAGAUUUAUCGGUUAUGGAUGGGGAUGCGUCUGAUUAGUUAGUUGGCGGGGUAACGGCCCACCAUAGGCAACGAUCAGUAGGGGUUCUGAGAGGAAGGUCCCCCACAUUGGAACUGAGACACGGUCCAAACUCCUACGGGAGGCAGCAGUGAGGAAAUAUU